rnacentral:rRNA from 1 species
UGGGGAAUUUUGGACAAUGGGCGAAAGCCUGAUCCAGCAAUGCCGCGUGUGUGAAGAAGGCCUUCGGGUUGUAAAGCACUUUUGUCCGGAAAGAAAUCCUUGGCUCUAAUACAGUCGGGGGAUGACGGUACCGGAAGAAUAAGCACCGGCUAACUACGUGCCAGCAGCCGCGGUAAUACGUAGGGUGCAAGCGUUAAUCGGAAUUACUGGGCGUAAAAGCGUGCGCAGGCGGUUUGCUAAGACCGAUGUGAAAAUCCCCGGGCUCAACCUGGGAACUGCAUUGGUGACUGGCAGGCUAGAGUAUGGCAGAGGGGGGUAGAAUUCCACGUGUAGCAGUGAAAAUGCGUAGAGAUGUGGAGGAAUACCGAUGGCGAAAGGCAGCCCCCUGGGCCAAAUACUGACGCUCAUGCACGAAAAGCGUGGGGAGCAAAACAGGAUUAGAUACCCUGGUAGUCCACGCCCUAAAACGAUGUCAACUAGUUGUUGGGGAUUCAUUUCCUUAGUAACGUAGCUAACGCGUGAAGUUGACCGCCUGGGGAGUACGGUCGCAAAGAUUAAAAACUCAAAAUGAAAUUGACGGGGUCAUAGCUGUUUCCU